CCAAAUUAGGGAAAGGCUCAAUCGCCCCAAAAGACUAGCCCAAUGGGGGAAGGGUGGCUCUCCCUUUUAAAGUGGCUUCCUCCUCCCAAGUUAAGCGAGGUGGGAUAAUUUUGAGGCUCACACGGUCACCGUCCGACUACAAUUGGGCCAACUGGGCCAAUUGCGUAUUUGCCAACGGGUAAUAGUGGAGGAUGUCCUCAUCAUUCCCACCUUCUUAAAAUGGGCCCUAGCUCUGAUACCAGAUGAUGCACCUAGCCCAGUUGGGGUUGGCCGAGGUCCAACAAAUUAGGGUUGUCUAGAGCCCAACAGUUCAUUAAGCACACCCAACUCAGGGAAAGGCCCAAUCGCCCCAAAAGACUAGCCCAAUGGGGGAAGGGUGGCUCUCCCUUUUAAAGUGGCUUCCUCCUCCCAAGAUAAGUGAGGUGGGAUAAUUCUGAGGCUCACACGGUCACCGUCCGACUACAAUUGGGCCAACUGGGCCAAUUGCGUCUUUGCCAACAGGUAAUAGUGGAGGAUGUCCUCAUC
rnacentral:lncRNA from 1 species